rnacentral:rRNA from 1 species
GAUGAACGCUGGCGGCGUGCUUAACACAUGCAAGUCGAACGGAAAGGCCUCUGCUUGCAGGGGUACUCGAGUGGCGAACGGGUGAGUAACACGUGGGUGAUCUGCCCUGCACUUCGGGAUAAGCCUGGGAAACUGGGUCUAAUACCGGAUAGGACAAUGGUUUGGAUGCUGUUGUGGAAAGUUUUUCGGUGUGGGAUGAGCUCGCGGCCUAUCAGCUUGUUGGUGGGGUAAUGGCCUACCAAGGCGUCGACGGGUAGCCGGCCUGAGAGGGUGUACGGCCACAUUGGCACUGAGAUACGGCCCAGACUCCUACGGGAGGCAGCAGUGGGGAAUAUUGCACAAUGGGCGCAAGCCUGAUGCAGCGACGCCGCGUGGGGGAUGACGGCCUUCGGGUUGUAAACUCCUUUCGCUAGGGACGAAGCGUUUUUGUGACGGUACCUGGAGAAGAAGCACCGGCUAACUACGUG